GAGGGGGAAGACGGGAGAAGAGAAGGGAGUUGGUUUUGGGCCUCACUCCUCCCCUCCCGUCUUGUUCUCUC
rnacentral:pre_miRNA from 1 species